rnacentral:tRNA from 1 species
UGCCGGAUAGCUCAAUUGGCAGAGCAGCUGACUCUGGAUCAGCAGGUUCCAGGUUCGAGCCCUGGUCCGGCAGCCC